UACGUAGGGGGCGAGCGUUGUCCGGAUUUAUUGGGCGUAAAGAGCGUGUAGGCGGCCAGGUAGGUCUGCUGUGAAAACUCGAGGCUCAACCUCGAGACGUCGGCGGAAACCAUCUGGCUAGAGUCCGGAAGAGGAGAGUGGGAAUUCCUGGUGUAGCGGUGAAAUGCGCAGAGUAUCAGGAAGAACACCCGUGGCGAAGGCGGCUCUCUGGGACGGUACUGACGCUGAGACGCGAAAGCGUGGGGAGCGAACAGG
rnacentral:rRNA from 1 species